UUUUAUGAGAGUUUGAUCCUGGCUCAGGACGAACGCUGGCGGCGUGCCUAAUACAUGCAAGUCGAACGCUUCUUUUUCCACCGGAGCUUGCUCCACCGGAAAAAGAGGAGUGGCGAACGGGUGAGUAACACGUGGGUAACCUGCCCAUCAGAAGGGGAUAACACUUGGAAACAGGUGCUAAUACCGUAUAACAAUCGAAACCGCAUGGUUUUGAUUUGAAAGGCGCUUUCGGGUGUCGCUGAUGGAUGGACCCGCGGUGCAUUAGCUAGUUGGUGAGGUAACGGCUCACCAAGGCGACGAUGCAUAGCCGACCUGAGAGGGUGAUCGGCCACAUUGGGACUGAGACACGGCCCAAACUCCUACGGGAGGCAGCAGUAGGGAAUCUUCGGCAAUGGACGAAAGUCUGACCGAGCAACGCCGCGUGAGUGAAGAAGGUUUUCGGAUCGUAAAACUCUGUUGUUAGAGAAGAACAAGGAUGAGAGUAACUGUUCAUCCCUUGACGGUAUCUAACCAGAAAGCCACGGCUAACUACGUGCCAGCAGCCGCGGUAAUACGUAGGUGGCAAGCGUUGUCCGGAUUUAUUGGGCGUAAAGCGAGCGCAGGCGGUUUCUUAAGUCUGAUGUGAAAGCCCCCGGCUCAACCGGGGAGGGUCAUUGGAAACUGGGAGACUUGAGUGCAGAAGAGGAGAGUGGAAUUCCAUGUGUAGCGGUGAAAUGCGUAGAUAUAUGGAGGAACACCAGUGGCGAAGGCGGCUCUCUGGUCUGUAACUGACGCUGAGGCUCGAAAGCGUGGGGAGCAAACAGGAUUAGAUACCCUGGUAGUCCACGCCGUAAACGAUGAGUGCUAAGUGUUGGAGGGUUUCCGCCCUUCAGUGCUGCAGCUAACGCAUUAAGCACUCCGCCUGGGGAGUACGACCGCAAGGUUGAAACUCAAAGGAAUUGACGGGGGCCCGCACAAGCGGUGGAGCAUGUGGUUUAAUUCGAAGCAACGCGAAGAACCUUACCAGGUCUUGACAUCCUUUGACCACUCUAGAGAUAGAGCUUCCCCUUCGGGGGCAAAGUGACAGGUGGUGCAUGGUUGUCGUCAGCUCGUGUCGUGAGAUGUUGGGUUAAGUCCCGCAACGAGCGCAACCCUUAUUGUUAGUUGCCAUCAUUUAGUUGGGCACUCUAGCAAGACUGCCGGUGACAAACCGGAGGAAGGUGGGGAUGACGUCAAAUCAUCAUGCCCCUUAUGACCUGGGCUACACACGUGCUACAAUGGGAAGUACAACGAGUCGCGAAGUCGCGAGGCUAAGCUAAUCUCUUAAAGCUUCUCUCAGUUCGGAUUGUAGGCUGCAACUCGCCUACAUGAAGCCGGAAUCGCUAGUAAUCGCGGAUCAGCACGCCGCGGUGAAUACGUUCCCGGGCCUUGUACACACCGCCCGUCACACCACGAGAGUUUGUAACACCCGAAGUCGGUGAGGUAACCUUUUGGAGCCAGCCGCCUAAGGUGGGAUAGAUGAUUGGGGUGAAGUCGUAACAAGGUAGCCGUAUCGGAAGGUGCGGCUGGAUCACCUCCUUUCUAAGGAA
rnacentral:rRNA from 1 species